rnacentral:hammerhead_ribozyme from 1 species
AUCCAGCCGACGAGUCUCAGACAGGACGAAAUGCGCAUCCUGGAU